GUGAACCAGCGGAGGGAUCAUUACCGAGUUUACAACUCCCAAACCCCUGUGAACAUACCACUUGUUGCCUCGGCGGAUCAGCCCGCUCCCGGUAAAACGGGACGGCCCGCCAGAGGACCCCUAAACUCUGUUUCUAUAUGUAACUUCUGAGUAAAACAAAUAAAUAAAUCAAAACUUUCAACAACGGAUCUCUUGGUUCUGGCAUCGAUGAAGAACGCAGCAAAAUGCGAUAAGUAAUGUGAAUUGCAGAAUUCAGUGAAUCAUCGAAUCUUUGAACGCACAUUGCGCCCGCCAGUAUUCUGGCGGGCAUGCCUGUUCGAGCGUCAUUUCAACCCUCAAGCACAGCUUGGUGUUGGGACUCGCGUUAAUUCGCGUUCCCCAAAUUGAUUGGCGGUCACGUCGAGCUUCCAUAGCGUAGUAGUAAAACCCUCGUUACUGGUAAUCGUCGCGGCCACGCCGUUAAACCCCAACUUCUGAAUGUUGACCUCGGAUCAGGUAGGAAUACCCGCUGAACUUAAGCAUAUCAAUAAGCGGAGGAAAAGAAAACAACAGGGAUUGCCCUAGUAACGGCGAGUGAAGCGGCAACAGCUCAAAUUUGAAAUCU
rnacentral:rRNA from 1 species